rnacentral:misc_RNA from 1 species
AUUUUGCCUUUUGAAAUGGAAGUCAGUAAAGUAUGAAUUUAAAGUAAAAAAGAAAAAUUAAUGAUCAACUAAAUUUAAAAAAUUCUCUAAAGGUAAUUUGAUUGUUAACCUGACAAGUGGGGUCUAAAUGAAAAAAAGGAUGUGUAAAAAUUAAAUGAUAUAUUAAAAACUUGUAUCACAUGGGUCAAGAAAUUCUAUAAAAUAUAAGGUGUUUCUUUGGUCUAAAAAACUGUCUAGAUCCACUUAUUUAUUCAUGGCAUAUGUUUGCAAUGUUUUGUAAACUGCUGAGUUUGAAUGGUUUUAUUAGACUUGAUGUCUGCAUUAUGUUACCUUAUUUGACUGUUUUAUGAAUGAAUAAUACUGUUUGCCAUGGCUUCACAUUCACAGUUUUGGUGUUGCAGACCCCAUUAGAAUGUCAGCUUCUUACUUUCAAGUUUGAAAUUACCUUUUUAGCUACAGUAGGAUGGCUAUAUUGCAUUGGUUAUCAAAGGAUUUAUCAAGUCUAGGCGAUAUACACAUGAGAAAAAGCGGAGUUAGUUAGCUAUUUAUUUAUUAUCAGUUAAGAGUUAUUUCUAAGUAGGAAGUUAUGUAUUAGCUAUUUAUUAGCUGAAUAGGAGUUACCAUUUUUUCUAAUUAGGAAGUCUUUUGCAAGGUACUGUAUUUAUAGGAUUUUUUUGAGAAUAAAACACGAGAAUUAUUUUGAUAAAAAAAAGUUUGAGUUCCUUAAUGCUCAGAGAUCCAAAGGUUCUCUCUAAGGAGCCUUCGCUAUUCUGAUUUCACCCUACACCGCCCGUGGAGAUGUGGACACGAUGUCGGACCAGAAUUUUCAACAAAGGGCUAGUUGUCAAACGAUUUAUGUGCAUUGGUUAUCCAGGAAAUAUGCAUAUCACUUAAAAGUACCGAGUAAAUGAACCUUGUUUGGUUGAAGCAAUACAUCUUUAGUUGCUUUAUAAUGGAUAUAUGGUGCUCAGAAUUGGAUGAUGUAUUGGUUUGGAUAAUUGUUAGCUUUGCCUGGUUGAGCUUAUAAUUGUCCAACAGGUUGCUUUCAGUUGAUUAAAAUUGUCCAAAUAAGGUGAUCUAAAGGUGAAAUGUUGAAUCGUUAAACUCUUUAGUCUUUAUGUGUUUACACUUGUAUACUUUUGUUAUGAAUAGACAAUACUAUCUUCUGUGCUUGUCACUUUUUCUUCUUUUAUAUGCACUGUAUUUAUCAAACUUAUUGAACACUCAUAAUGUGAACUUGUUAGGUGGCAAUGACUGGUGAUGGUGU